CUCACAUCUUACAGGGUGUGCAAAUUGAAAUUUCGAAACUCUCCACAGAGUAGAGGUGGCAGUGCCAUAACUCGACACAGGAGAAGUGUGCCAGCCAGAUAGCUUUGCCAGCCAGCAUGCUGCCAAAGACUUCACAAAAUGUCUCUCUCAUUGGAAAGAAAAGCGUUUGCCUGUCUCUCUGCACAUGUUCAAUGCACCAUUUCUGAAAGGAUACAAGUUUUGGAGGUUGGAAAUCCAACAUCAAAGUGCCAGCAUUUUCAAGUUCUGGUCAAACUCCCAAGAGUUUGAGGUCAAAUUUUGAUGGAGCACCCAGAUGUCCUCAGCUGUCAUGGAGAAUACUUAACAUAUUUGCUUGCAUGUUUCCCCCAUUAUAUUGGCAGAUAUUUAGUUAUUAACAAAGAAGAAAGAGGUGGGUUAAGGAGUUAACCUAGCAAUCACUGGAGUCUGAGGCCAAAACCACCCUUGACAUGAUCCAAAGCUUUCAGCUUUAUUGUAUUCUUCCAGAAAGAAGACAUUGUCUCACUUGCGACUAGUAAAAUAAUAAAAAAUAAGGAUAAGAAGAAGAACUAAUGCCUAUUGGGCACCUGAUACCCAACUACACAAAUGUAUGUGCACAUGCAUGCACACACAUAAACCAUACUCCGCCUCUUCUCUCUACCAUAGUUGUCAUCAUCCCUUUGUUAAAUAGGGAAAAGGAGUCCAGAAUGGCGGUGGCUAAAAGACCUGGAAGGGAAAAGCCCGUGAAAAUAGA